CAAGUCUCACGGGCAGCAAUGUCAGUGGCGGACGGGUGAGUAACGCGUAGGAAUCUGUCCUUGGGUGGGGGAUAACUGUGGGAAACUACAGCUAAUACCGCAUGAUACCUGUGGGUCAAAGGCGCGAGUCGCCUAAGGAGGAGCCUGCGUACGAUUAGCUAGUUGGUGGGGUAACGGCCUACCAAGGCGACGAUCGUUAGCUGGUCUGAGAGGAUGAUCAGCCACAUUGGGACUGAGACACGGCCCAAACUCCUACGGGAGGCAGCAGUGGGGAAUAUUGGACAAUGGGCGCAAGCCUGAUCCAGCAAUGCCGCGUGUGUGAAGAAGGUCUUCGGAUUGUAAAGCACUUUCGACGGGGACGAUGAUGACGGUACCCGUAGAAGAAGCCCCGGCUAACUUCGUGCCAGCAGCCGCGGUAAUACGAAGGGGGCUAGCGUUGCUCGGAAUGACUGGGCGUAAAGGGCGCGUAGGCGGUUCAGACAGUCAGAUGUGAAAUUCCCGGGCUUAACCUGGGGGCUGCAUUUGAUACGUGUGGGCUUGAGUGAGGAAGAGGGUCGUGGAAUUCCCAGUGUAGAGGUGAAAUUCGUAGAUAUUGGGAAGAACACCGGUGGCGAAGGCGGCGACCUGGUCCUUGACUGACGCUGAGGCGCGAAAGCGUGGGGAGCAAACAGGAUUAGAUACCCUGGUAGUCCACGCUGUAAACGAUGUGUGCUGGAUGUUGGGUGACAUAGUCACUCAGUGUCGUAGCUAACGCGAUAAGCACACCGCCUGGGGAGUACGGCCGCAAGGUUGAAACACAAAGGAAUUGACGGGGGCCCGCACAAGCGGUGGAGCAUGUGGUUUAAUUC
rnacentral:rRNA from 1 species